ACGCUUACACAAUGGCGUCGGUAUAGACGUGAUGUUGACUGCUGUAAACAGACGUGUAUUAAGAUUUACGAUUUAAACAGGUUGGUAAUAUGUUUAGGUGUCUGUUUUGUGUGAAUAUUUUGAGAGCCUUAUACAUGAUACACACUCAUCUGCAAAGUCACAAACCUCGCACAGUUUAUCACGAACCCUUGUACAUUGCUCCUGAGGUUGGGUUUGACUAUUCUGAGGCUAUAUGACUUGCAUAAGGAGAUUGUGGUGUGGGUUCUUGCUUGAAGACUCAGGGUAAAUAAAAAUAUUUUCAUACAAUUAAAGUG